GUACUCCCCGAAAUAUAUUGAGGUAUAGCCUCAGGGGAUGAGUGCUGGAGGUAGAGCACUGGAAGGGUUAGGGCCGUCACCACGGUACCGUCCCCUACCAAACUCCGAAUGCCAGUUACUUUACCCUGGGAGUCAGCCUACGUGGGAUAAGCUGUGUGGACGAGAGGGGAAGAACCCAGACCGCCAAUUAAGGCCCCCAAGUGAUACCUAAGUGAUUAAAGAGGUGGGUCCGCAAAAACAACCAGGAUGUUGGCUUAGAGGCAGCCACCAUUUAAAGAGUGCGUAAUAGCUCACUGGUCGAGUAGAUCUGCGCUGAAAAUCCACGGGACUCAAGGUAUCCGCCGAAAUUGCGGAAUCGUUUUACGAUUGGUAGGGGAGCAUUCCAGUUGCCGACGAAGCGGAAAUGUGAAUUUCCGUGGAGGUCCUGGAAGAGAUUAUGCCAGAAUGAGUAGUGAGAAAACAGGUGAGAAACCUGUUCACCGUAAGCCCAAGGGUUCCUGGGUAAAGUUAAUCUUCCCAGGGUUAGCCGGUCCCUAAGACGAAGCCGAACGGCGUAGUCGAUGGAAACCAUGUCAAUAUUCAUGGGCCGCCA
rnacentral:rRNA from 1 species